rnacentral:siRNA from 1 species
UGAGGGUAAUUUGUUCAUUCUGUU